UGUGUGAAUUAAUUAUAAAGUCUAGCCUGCCCACUGAUUUAUUUAAAGGGCCGCGGUAAUUUGACCGUGCGAAGGUAGCAUAGUCAGUAGUCUUUUAAUUGAAGGCUUGAAUGAAAGGUUGGACGAGGGGUAGGCUGUCUCUUUUACGUUGUUUGAAUUUAACUUUUAAGUGAGAAGGCUUAAAUUAUUUAGUGGGACGAUAAGACCCUAUAAAACUUGAUAUAGGUUUAGUUUAAUUUGUGGUGUAAGUGGAAUAUGGUUUAAUUUGGAUUUAUAUUUCGUUGGGGCGAUGUAGAUAUAAUAUGUAACUGUUUGUUAAAAUUUAAUAGUUAUAAUUAGUUUUUGAUCCUACUUUGUGGAUUAAAAGAAUAAGUUACUUUAGGGAUAACAGCGUGAUUUUCUUUGAGAGUUCUUAUCGACAAGAGUAGUUGCGACCUCGAUGUUGAAUUAAAGUUUCAGCUAGGUGUAGCCGUUUAGCUGGUGGGUCUGUUCGACCUUUAAAAUUUUACAU
rnacentral:rRNA from 1 species